AAAAGGAGUUAUUAACUGAAAGAGUUUCACCAUGUUGGUCAGGCUGGUCUCAAACUCCUGACCUGGUGAUCCACCCGCCUCGGCCUCCCAAAGUACUGGGAUUACAGGCGUGAGCCACCCCACCAGGCCCAGCUAUUUGCAUUCUAUUUGAGUCUUUCUCCCCCUAAAUCCUGGAUCUGCUACCCUUCCAAUUUCCUUCCAAGUGUUGGCCGGAUGUAGAGCAACUGAAGCUCUCAUACAUUGUUGGUGGAAGUAAAAUGGUGUAGGCACUUAACAGAUUGGUAGAAUCUACUA
rnacentral:lncRNA from 1 species